UUAAAUGCUAAGAAGAGGAAGAGUAAAAUAGUGUUUUUCUCCAAGAGAGAAGGAAAAGCUGAGAACCUUUAGAAAAAACUAUUUGAACGUAACCUUGGAGCAGUUUUUCUGAACGAGCAGUAAGAAAAACCGGUGUGUGAAACAUCGUUAUCGUAAUGAAGUGCUUACUUUCAAGUGAGUAAAAAGGUGGUACCGCGAAUGAUACUCUUUUCGUCCUUUUA
rnacentral:ncRNA from 1 species